CGCGGGCGGGAGUCCGAUCUACAUAUGAGUGCCCUGCAUUCGGUUCUGCGCGCGCUCACACACCUCUGCUCUAGGCUGGAGAGGGCUCUAGAUACAGGGUCUCCCGCGGAGGGGGACGCGGCUACCCACCCUGGGCUUGUCGGGGGAUCUGAGGAUUUGCAGUCGUCUGGCCCCGGCCGGGCGGAGGAGGGGAAACCCCGCCUGAGAGCGGGGACUCCGGAAGGAUGCCUGUGCGCCCCACUUCCCCACCCCACCCACGCUUUCUCUUUGCUGUGCUUCUGCUUCGCAGAUUCCACACCCCACCCUACCCGGCCCGUUCACCGAAUCCUGACUUUGAACCCCAAGGUGGCCAGGCGUGUUCUCGGCCCGGCCACAACCAGCUGGCGUUCUCGCCCUGGCCGGAGCCGUCCAACCGGGCUUCGCUGUCCCCGGGGAGGGUGCCCAGCUCGGAUCAACCGGGGCGAGGUUACGCUUUCUAAAGUUACUCCCGGGCGAGGGGAGCACAAUGGGUCAUCCAGGGAAAAGAAAAAAAUAUCUCCACCCUCCUUCUGGCUUCAUGGAGGACCUGCGCUUGAACAAGUAGAGAAGGAUAUUUGGGCGGAACAGUUGCGACAUGCUGACUCACCUAGUGUGCUGAGAAGACUGAAGCAAUUUGUAAAAAUGAUAUUCUAUCAAGGGCCUUGCGGAAGACAAAAGGACAGAUUCCAGAUGUACGUGAUUCUAGAGAAUCGGUCUGACUGAUGUUCCCACCUCCAUGCCUCCUCUUCCCCUAACCCAAAUAAGCUAACUGGCUGUGCUACCAGCCCGAAAGAUUUUCUGUUUAUGCUAAAACUUUAGCAGUUGGUCUCCCUUGUAUUUUGACUGUGAUCAUGGCAUUCGAAAAAAAAAAAAACAAAAAACAGGUAAUUCAUAAGAAUUUAAGAAUUUAUCACUUUCUCAGGGAUGGUAAGAAAUUUACUCAAAAUUCACUUUUAUGUUUAAGAUAGGCUUCCAAAGGCUGCUUAUUUCCAACUUUCAUUUUACUUUCACUUAAUGUAAAAAGAAAUGGCUUUAGUUUAUCUUCACACAGCAUUCUAAUUGUAACAGUAGUUCCUUUGGGUUUUCACGUAUAGAACGGUCCAUAGUACAUUCCACAGCAUUCGUUAUAUAGAGCGAUCUUGGUGGCUUUAUAUGAAAUAUCGAAUGACUGUGUAUGUGAACAAUGAAUGAUAGUUUCGUAAAUAACCUUCAGGAGACAGACAUAGCUUCAGUUGAGCACUAUAAAAGCGUGUUGUUAUACAACAGCCUGUAGAAGGUGCUAAGAAAAUACAAAGAAAUUAAAUAAAUACAUAAAUUUAGAAUAAAAUAAUAAAUGAAUAAAAUUAUUAAAAAAUACACAAAAUAAUAAAAAGGUUUCUGUAGGAUUGUGUGGUGUGUAUGUAUAUAUGAGAGGGAAAAGGAGGGAGGGAGGAAGGCAGGGAGGGAGGAAGAGAGAAUCUGGUCUACAAAUCCAUUUGCUUGUCUGAUGCGUUGAAUGGAGCUUCAGAAGCCAGAAGACAUAACAGAGCAGGUGGUUGACAUAAGCUCCCAAAUUUAGAUACUCCUGUGUAUCCAAGGGAGGUGAUAGGUGGCACAGUGGUUAAAAUGCUUAGGGCAGUGGUUCGAACCCACCAGCUUCUCUGUGGGAGAAAGAUGUGGCAUCCUGCUUCCAUAAAGAUUUCCAGCCUCGGAAACCCUAUGGGAACAGUUCUACUCUGUCCUGUAAGGUUGUUAAGAGUAGGAAUCAACUCGAUGGCAGUGGGUUUGGGUUUGGUGUAUCAAAGCACAAGUACUACUGCUUGUUUUAAUAUUCUUUCUAUGUACUUGCUUCCAAAGCGUCAGAAUUGCUUCACUUGGACUUUCUUAUAUAUAAAAAUUGUUAAUCCCCAAAUAUGAAAUAAUAUGCUUCUAAAAAUUGGAACAGUUUUUGAAAGGAAAAGAAUUUUCCCCCCAACUAUCCUACUCGAGACAGUGGGAUAGUUUUGUUUUUACAAACCAAAACAAGAUUGAAACGGUCAAACAUGGUCUUGGUUGGGAGGAAUAUUUUGCUGGAAAAGAGGUAGACUAACAGUCUAUUGAUGUGUAGGAAACACUAUUGUUAAUCCUUUGUGUGUGCCUGCGUGCAGAAGUUAAAAUCUAGGGUAUAUAAAAUUAAACGUCAUAAGGAAAAUGUAAUAAGCAGGCAUCUCAAUUACUAGGUACUCUUUAUUAUACAGUAUAAAUGGCUUUGUAACUCCAUAAUGACAGUCCACCAAAGAGCUCAGAACUGAUAGGCACUAGAGUAAAUAGUUUAGCUAUGUGUGCGUGUCGGCUAGUGUUUUGUCCUCUUAGAUUUUUGGAAAAUCUUUUUCAUUCAGUAUAUAUAUGGAAGCUUUCUUUCUCAGGUUAGAGAAAGUUAAUGCAGUGACAUUUCCCCAUGACUUCAGAAAAAUUGGAAUAAAUGUGAAAUCUCAAUAGUUUAUGAAUGAGGUUUUUUCUAUUUGAGAUAAUAGGCACUUAGCAAGUAUGAAGAUGGCAACCACCAUUGAGUAAAUCCUUUGUGUGUACCUACUGUGUGCCAGAGGCUCUGUAUUAGAAAGGUAGGUUACCAGAGCAACCAACCACAAUUUUUUGGGUAAAUAGCUUUCACUGCUCUUUUACAAAUAAAACCUACUUUCACCUUUGUGCUUGAAGAGAAACGUCUUCAUUUUAAAUAGAUGCUUGUUUUAGAACUUCUGCAAACUGGAGAAAAGAACAUUUCAACUGAGAAAACUAGGAUUAAUAUUUUGAUAUUUCCUUCCGGUCUUUUAAUUUCCUAUUAUUUUCUCUUCCCUUCAAUGGGCACACACACAUUUAAAUGUACACAAUGGGAAUCAGACUGUUUAUAGUCGUAUGUCCUGCUUUUUCCACUUAACAUACCGUGAGCAUUUUUCCAUGCCAUUAAAUAUGCUUUGAAUAUGUUCUUGGCCACAUAAAAUUCCAUCCCAUUGAUGCACCUGUUUUCUUUUAAGCAAAGACACAUGCCAUUUUUUUUUUUUUCCAGUCAUGCUGGACUC